rnacentral:tRNA from 1 species
AGGGAUGUAGCUUAGGUGGUAGAGCGCUCGCUUAGCAUGCGAGAUGUAUGGGGAUCGAUACCCUGCAUCUUGA